CCCCUAUGCUGCUCUUUGCUACUUCUGAUGCAGUCCACUUAAUUCCGAGUCCCGGUUUCCUUGGGAUACUGACAUCUUUGAAUAUUAGGACCUCAAUCAGGAAUUCUCCAUUGAAGCCUGUGGAAAUGCUUCCCUCCCGCUAGAAACUUAGUUCCUCCAGACAUCCUCUCUGAUUGCCCAGCUGAGGCAGAGAAACCCAAGGAGAGAGCUAGUUAGCCAGCUCCUCCUCCUUCCUCUUCCUCCUAACCUUCUUUCUCAGUUCAAUAAAGUUCCCCGUCUCGGGGUUUGUUCUCAGAAUUCCAAGUCUUCUAUUUUCACACCUUGGUAAUUGGUGCUAUCUGUUGAAAGUAACUCUGAAACUCCAGCCUGCUGAGGUCAGGAGGAGCUGAAUUGAAUUAAAGGGAGUCGAAAUUGGCUCGAAGCAGGCAGGUGGACUUGGAGAGAAAAGUGUAAUUUCUCUCCUCCAGGUUCCCAGAGACCCGCCCUACGUGCCUGUGGGCAACCGCCUGACAUCAUUCCACCAACACUUUAAUGGGAGCCCCAUGAAGCUUCUCCCUUUCCAAUAGAAAUGGUUGGGGGCCUUGGCUCCUCCCAUUGCUCACUGAAUGAGAUGGAGACCCCAGGUGCUUCUUCUCCAGGAACCACUGCCACUGCUGGAGGAAACCAUUGUGUCGGGAGAAUGACUUUGAAAUGAUUAAAUAUGCAAAAACCUACCCCACCCAACCCCAGUUUUAAUAGCAGAACAGCUGGGAAAGGAGCUGACAGAAGCCGGGAGACUCUCGGUGACAGCAGAUAAUCCAUCCGCAAUUCACGCGGAUAUGGCAAAUACAAUCCCCUUGGACUGGGUCAGAGCGAGGCAUGUCCGAAUUUGGAUUAACGUUCCUAGGCUGUGUUUGCUGGUGCGAGAACAGAAAGGAGAAAGUACUUAUAUUUUUCUUUGAUUUGUGCUCUGGAAAUACUUUUCAUGGGGCUCUCUCCUCACCCCUCCCGCCUUCCUCCCUUUCCUAAAAGACUUCGAAAUUAUCUGGGAAAGUAGCAUUCCAUUUGCACUCAGCAGGAGCCAAGGAGUACUGUGACCUGGGCCUAGAACGUGUCUUUCAUUCCAAUCGACUGUCCAGCUUUUAGAGGUGGGAUACAAGAUCCUGCCUCUGGCAAAUAAGAAGCCAUAAGUCAUUGAACAGCUUUCCUACCCUAAGAGAAAGUCAGAAAUGAGGGAAGAAGAUGGUUUCAAAAAGGCAUGGAAAGGCUCGCACAAAAUGAUGUAGAGUGAAAUCAAGAGAACCAGAGGAACAAUUUAUGCUUUAAAUCAAUAUUGUAAAAACAGUUUUGAAAGACUUAAGAACUAUGAUCGAGUGAUCAGCCAUGUUUCCAGAGGACUGAUAAAGAACAUUGUUCACCUCAUGACAGAGAAAUGAUGGACUAAUAGGCAAAACGAGAAAUGUAUUUUAGACAUGACUGAUGUGAGAAGCUGUUUUGAUUGACUGUGCAUAGAGGAUAAAGACUUGGUAAUUUUAUCUUUUUUUUAAUCCAAUGGAUGGAAGCUGAAAAAAAAAACAAAAAAGGAAUGCUUCAUAAUUGUUGGUUUUCCUGUAUUUCCCUUUUUUCUUUUAAAAUAUUUUUAUUUUGUUAUUUUAGUUUGGUUUUCUGGGCAAAAGAAGGGGGAGUGAUAUAUUAAAAAUGAAUGAUGUAAAAAUAAAGUUAUCAAUAAAAUAUUAAGAAUAAAUAAAAAUAAGCAACCAGAGAUACAAGAAUAAAAAGCUAUUCUGGGAUGAAAUGUUAUCUAUACAGAUUUAGUAAUGAAGGGGAAAUGUGUUAAGCUUCUACUAUGUGAGGCAAUGAGUUAAUCAACAAAUAUUUGUUAUGUUUUUACUACAUGUACCAGGUUCUGAAAUAUAAAAAAUCUUAAAAUAAUAAAAAGAUUAAAAAAUGAAAUAACCCCUGCCCUCAAGAAGCCAUCAUUUUACCUGAGGUAACAACUGAUACAUAAAUAGUUAUAUGCAAAAUGAGUACAAAUCUGUUUGGGAGAGAGUAAAAAAAGCUGGGAAGGAAGUAAACAAAUAUUUAUUAAAGUGCCAAAUGUUUUACAAGA